rnacentral:tRNA from 1 species
UCCCUGGUGGUGCAGUGCCUAAGACUCUGCACUCCCAAUGCAGGGGGCCCAGGUUCAAUCCCUGAUCAGGGAA